rnacentral:rRNA from 1 species
UACGAGUGCCCAAGCGUUAUCCGAAUUAUUGGGUACGGUAAAGGGUGUGUGAGGUACAGCAUGGUUAGUCAUUUUUGUUAAAGCUCCCGGCUCAACCGGGAAGAUGCAAGGGAAACGGCCAUUGCUAGAGGAUGUGAUGAGGUGGAAUGGAACUCAUGGUGUAGGGUGAAUCGAUUGAUAUCAUGGGGAACACCAAAAGCGAAGGCAAUUCACUGGCACAAUUCCUGACGCUGAAACAACGAAAGCGUGGGUAGC